UAAGGGAUAUUGCCCAAUGGGCGCAAGCCUGAGGCAGCAACGCCGCGUGCGGGAAGAAGGGCUUCGGCUCGUAAACCGCUUUUCUCCAGGAAGAGACAGGACGGUAACUGGAGGAAGAAGUCUCGGCUAACUACGUGCCAGCAGCCGCGGUAAAAACGUAGGAGGCAAGCGUUAUCCGGAUUUACUGGGCGUAAAGCGCGUGCAGGUGUUGUAUAAGUCGUGCGUGAAAGCACCGUGCUUAACACGGUGAGGACGGGCGAGACUGUAGGACUAGAGCUAGAUAGAGGCAAGUGGAAUUCCGGGUGUAGUGGUGAAAUGCGUAGAGAUCCGGAGGAAUACCAGUGGCGAAGGCGGCUUGCUGGGUCUAAGCUGACACUCAGACGCGAAAGCAUGGGGAGCGAACGGGAUUAGAAACCCCGGUAGUCCAUGCCGUAAACGAUGUCGAUUAGGCGCUCGUCGCUUCGGCGGGAGUGCCGCAGCUAACGCGAUAAAUCGACC
rnacentral:rRNA from 1 species